CCGUAAGCCGUUGAAGGUGGAUUGAGAAGUCUGCUGGAGGUAUCGGAAGUGCGAAUGCUGACAUGAGUAACGAUAAUGCGGGUGAAAAACCCGCACGCCGAAAGCCCAAGGUUUCCUUGCGCAACGUUAAUCGGCGCAGGGUGAGUCGGCCCCUAAGGCGAGGACGAAAGUCGUAGUCGAUGGGAAGCAGGUUAAUAUUCCUGCACCUCGCGUAAGUGCGAUGGAGGGACGGAGAAGGUUAGGUGUACCAGGCGUUGGUUGUCCUGGGGAAAGGCGGUAGGUUUGGAUCUUUGGCAAAUCCGGGAUCCUCUAAGACCGAGCACCGAGACGAGCCUUUAUGGCAAAGUCACUGAUACCACGCUUCCAGGAAAAGCUCCUAAGCUUCAGCUUACGCAGACCGUACCGUAAACCGACACAGGUGGGUAGGAUGAGAAUUCUCAGGCGCUUGAGAGAACUCGGGUGAAGGAACUAGGCAACAUGGCACCGUAACUUCGGGAGAAGGUGCACCCUUUUUGGUGGCUCGUGCGAGCUAUAGCUGAAGAGGGUCGCAGUAACCAGGCCGCUGCGACUGUUUAUCAAAAACACAGCACUCUGCAAACACGAAAGUGGACGUAUAGGGUGUGACGCCUGCCCGGUGCUGGAAGGUUAAUUGAUGGGGUCAGCCGCAAGGCGAAGCUCUUGAUCGAAGCCCCAGUAAACGGCGGCCGUAACUAUAACGGUCCUAAGGUAGCGAAAUUCCUUGUCGGGUAAGUUCCGACCUGCACGAAUGGCGUAACGACAGCGGCGCUGUCUCCACCCGAGACUCAGUGAAAUUGAAAUCGCUGUGAAGAUGCAGCGUUCCCGUGGCAAGACGGAAAGACCCCGUGAACCUUUACUAUAGCUUUACACUGAACGUUGAGUUCGUCUGUGUAGGAUAGGUGGGAGGCUAUGAAACCAUGGCGCUAGCUGUGGUGGAGCCAUCCUUGAAAUACCACCCUGUCGUGCUUGACGUUCUAACCUGGGCCCAUUAUCUGGGUCGGGGACCGUGUAUGGUGGGUAGUUUGACUGGGGCGGUCUCCUCCUAAAGAGUAACGGAGGAGCUCGAAGGUACGCUCAGCGCGGUCGGACAUCGCGCACUGUGUGCAAAGGCAUAAGCGUGCUUGACUGCAAGAUCGACGGAUCAAGCAGGUAGGAAACUAGGACUUAGUGAUCCGGUGGUUCUGUAUGGAAGGGCCAUCGCUCAACGGAUAAAAGGUACUCCGGGGAUAACAGGCUGAUACCGCCCAAGAGUUCAUAUCGACGGCGGUGUUUGGCACCUCGAUGUCGGCUCAUCACAUCCUGGGGCUGUAGUCGGUCCCAAGGGUAUGGCUGUUCGCCAUUUAAAGUGGUACGCGAGCUGGGUUCAGAACGUCGUGAGACAGUUCGGUCCCUAUCUGCCAUGGGCGUUGGAGAUUUGAGAGGGGCUGCUCCUAGUACGAGAGGACCGGAGUGGACGAACCUCUGGUGUUCCGGUUGUCACGCCAGUGGCAUUGCCGGGUAGCUAUGUUCGGAAGCGAUAACCGCUGAAAGCAUCUAAGCGGGAAGCGCGCCUCAAGAUGAGAUCUCCCGGGGCACAAGCCCCCUGAAGGAACCAUGUAGACUACGUGGUUGAUAGGUCAGGUGUGUAAGUACAGCAAUGUAUUGAGCUAACUGAUACUAAUGAUCCGUGCGGCUUGACCAU
rnacentral:rRNA from 1 species